rnacentral:rRNA from 1 species
UACGAAGGGGGCUAGCGUUGUUCGGAAUUACUGGGCGUAAAGGGCGCGUAGGCGGCCAUUCAAGUUAGGUGUGAAAGCCCUGGGCUCAACCUAGGAAUUGCACUUGAUACUGUUUGGCUUGAGUUCGGGAGAGGUGAGUGGAAUUCCCAGUGUAGAGGUGAAAUUCGUAGAUAUUGGGAAGAACACCAGUGGCGAAGGCGGCUCACUGGACCGACACUGACGCUGAGGCGCGAAAGCGUGGGGAGCAACAGGG